GCUUUGUUGUUGUUUUUCGUUUUGGUUUGGUUUGGGUUUUUUUUUUUCCAGUUUUAAAGAACACUGAUUUGAAAAAUGUGAUUGACAUUAUUGAGCUGCUUUAUAGGAGAGAGACCGGAUCUUGUCUCUCACUGUGUCUUUGUUUUGCUCCCAGAGCUGCAGUGGCAUAAAGCAGCAGGCUGGUUUCUUUCCAAAAUGCUCAAGUACAAUUUGUUUUGCUGAAACAUGACAAAUACCUUAUAUCAAUACCAAGGCUUUUGUUUACUAAUGCUGGAAGCCAAGUGAAUUAACAAAACACUGGGAAGAACAGGAGGAAGAAAUAAAAUAAAUAGCAUGGAAUUGGUUUGUUUUCUAUUUCCCCAAUCACAUAAUUAUUAAAAAACAAACAAACAAAAAACACUGUUAUCAGUUGUUAUCAAUUUAAGACAAGAAUCCAUGAUCAUCAACAGGACCAUAUACAUAAGCAGUUCAUAAAGGACUGUAGGAAUGGGCUGUAGCUAAAGUGGAAUGUGAGACAGAAAUUAAGUAAUCUGUCAGUAUUUUAAAAUCACUUCCUGAGUAGCCCUCAUUUUCAGUGACCAAAAAUUGUUCUGCUUUGCAAUCCUGCCCGUCUUAGAACGAGAAUUUUUGCCCUCCAGCCUUCGAAACCAUUCAACAGGUGAUGAUGCAGAUGAGUUUUAUGCACGCAUGCAUGCUCAGGUGCCCUCGCAGGCAUGUCUUCUGUCACUCGAUAAGAAAAUAAGAAAAAAAAAGCAGGCUAAAAAGAGGCGGCAGACAAGAGUCCAGAAGACACAACCAAUGAGGGAAAAAGACUGAGCCUAUUCUAUGAAAUGAGGUGGUCCUGGAAUUCUACAGUCUUUGCUUGGCACAGAUUGCUUCCAUACAGCCAAAAGCUCUUCCCUCACAGGGGAUAAAACAAGGUGGGUUCAUUCAGAUCCCCUGCCAGGGACAGUUUCUGGGUCUAACCCCAGAGUGUGUCAGGCAUUGUAUGCAGUAACGCAAGUUGGCCUAAGCUAUGAGCCAACCUGUUAGCAAUGGGGCAGUGUUCAAGUCUUCAGCUUUUCUUUACUGGAUGCAAAUAAAGCCAUGGAGUCUUCCUAGGGACAAGGUUGCUUAGGUUCUCACAGGCUUCCAAAAUCCACACAUAGCCCUUGCCCCUUCCUGCAAGUGAGGGUUGCCAAGAAGGAGACGUAGUGAAGUGAAAGAGAUGAGUGUUAAGUUGCGCAUCACCCUGCCAUAGAAACUCUUGCUGUUUUGUGAUUGCAGGGACCUGAUCCCAUCAUUGCUUGUGUAGUGUUAAUGCACAAACUAGCAGUGAGGAUCAGAGCCUUGCUCCUGGAAGGCUUCCAGAGCCUGUCCCUUCUUUCAUCUAUCCAGUCUCCCUUAACCUAAAAUGUCUAACAGUAGCAAAGAACCAAAUCCCAGAGUGCCUUUGUCACUUCCUGACUACUGUAACCUUUAGGCUGUGGCAUCAGGGUCUGGCUCAUUGGCUUUGCCUCUCACUUCUCGGUGGUUUGUAUCAGCCCAGGACGGAAUAUAUCCCAUCCCUCAACAGAUAACUCUUAAGAAAUUGAAUUCAGGCUUCCUUCAUUCUAAGGCAAGCAUCCUUAUAAGUCAGCCAGUCUUUGGCAUGAUAAAACACAGAAAAGCAUUGAAUGGGCAGUAGGAUUUCUUCCACUUUUCAAAUAAGUGGUUAAUUGCAGGAAGAAUUACACACAUUUCUUGAUUUAUAUCUAGUUGGAUAAUUAUAUUCUCCAUCGCUGGAUUUCUAGCUAACCACUUUCAUAUUGAGAGCCUUUUCCUGUCUUUUAUGUUACACAACAUGAACAUUCAUACUCAUCUUCCAAAGAGUUUCAUCCUUGAGCCUAAAUAGUCUUUCAAAUCUCUUCUAUUUUCCAAAGAACACUACACAUUUUAAGACCCAGAUUGUGUAGUGCAGUUUAUAGUAAUCCUACACAUGUUACAAGCUUGUUUUUGUCAAAUAACAUCGUGUUCAUUUUGUAUUUCUUCUCUGGGAAUGAACAAUUCUGUAGCAUAGGUCUUUCAAAAUAAAACAAAAAUCCCGUUAGCAGUAAUAUCUUCUUGAAGUUGAAUUUAAUCUUUUCUGUAUUUCUUGUGUACUACAAAAUAAAAUGUGGAGCUCUUUUUUUGUUAAUCCUUGAGAAAAUUUUCUUGGGCUUUAUGAUAACACCAGUAACGUAGUUGUUAUUUCAGUAGAACAAAUCACAAGCUGUAUGUAUUGUAGGUAGGACUUUAUAGGCCUCUUUCAAAGAUACCAAGACUCUCACCUCAUUUUAAAGCCUGUGAAAAAUCAUUGCUAUGUGGCUAUAAGCAGUUUAGCUGAUUUUGAAAUAACUGUUGUAAGUUGACAGGUUUUUUUUUUUAUAAUGCUUAUCUACCUCUUUUUCUUUUAUGUGAGCCAAUUAUUUUCACUCAUUAAAGUUAAUUAAAAGAUUAGAUUUACAAGAUGUUAUUCUAUAUUCUUUUGGCAUGAGUAUUCAAAAGAAAAUUUGCAUGGGUACCAAAAGCCCCAAAUUCCACCUUUUCAAGGUUAAAAAAAAAAAAAAAAAAAGCAAAAUUAUUUUGUUCUUCACUCAAGUGACUUGAAUCAGAAAAAUAAUUCUCUACCAUCUGUUGUUUGGGUUUUGUUGUUUUUUUGGUACAGUAUUGUUUGUGUUCUUUCACAUGAAAUUGUUAAUCAUCACUUGAGGAAAUUCCCCAAUCUCUUCACUAUCUCAUUAGGCAUAAUUUCAAUCUUUCUGUGAUAAAAAACUAAUUUCUCCCACAGGAAUAAAAACUUUUAAUGAUAAUACUGUCUGAAUAAUAUCUAAUUUCCAGUAGGAACGUGCACUGUUUUGAAUUACUGUAGUCUUGUGCAUCGAGUGUUUGUAAUUUGAUGCAAAUACACUUUCCUUACUUUUUUUUUUUUUUUUUUUUUUUUUCCAGAAUGAUUAAGAUUACAGUGGAAUAAAUAAGGAGAUUCUUUUGCCUUUGUAAUGGCUUUGCCUCCUUGACAGAUUAUUUUUACAGCUUUGGAGAGAAUUUUCUAUCCAAGCAUAGAAUCUAUCCAUUCUUCUUGGAAUCUGUUUGAUUGAGUCCUUGUACACUAUGCAGCAGGGAUAUUUGAACCUCCAUUCUCUGUUCUCAUUUCUGGAUAGCUUCAUCAUUCCCAUUUUCUUUAAUUAACCUUAUGUAUGUAGGUGACUGAAAUUGAAAAUUUCUCUGUGCUGAAAUACUGGAAAUUGUUUAUGCAUAUGUGUAAUCUUUUGGAACAGUUCGUUGAAUUGGUCCAUGCAAAUGAACAUAAUGAAAUGAUUUGUUGGAAGAAAUGUAAAACAAUUUGUGCAAAUCAGUUUUUGUAAUGGAUAACAUAAGAAGAGCUUGGCAAACAGUAAAAUGGUAAUAGUUGUCAGUGUGAACUGCACCAUUCAAUAUUGUUUUUUGAACAAACACAUAUGAAUCUCAGUAAGAUACUAGCUCUAGUAAUGUGAACAGCAAAUUCCUAAUGCAGUUCUAGUUACAUUUCUAGGUGCAGAGAUGCUGCAGAUCAGCUCCUAGAAGCUGCAUGACAGCAAUGCUUAAGAAAUUGCCAACCUAGUAACAGGCAAAUCCCUGAGCAAUCAUUUAAAUUUUGACUUUCCUCUGCCACCCUGUAUCUUUGAAAUGCAGUUUUCAGAGAAUGUUCAUUUUCCUAUCCAUUAUUUGAACCAGUUUCUUGAAUACUGUGUUUAUUUUAUG